CAGUCGCCGCGGUAAUACGAAGGGUGCAAGCGUUAAUCGGAAUUACUGGGCGUAAAGCGUGCGUAGGCGGUGAGUCAAGUCUGCUGUGAAAUCCCCGGGCUCAACCUGGGAAUGGCAGUGGAUACUGGCUCGCUAGAGUGUGUCAGAGGAUGGUGGAAUUCCCGGUGUAGCGGUGAAAUGCGUAGAGAUCGGGAGGAACAUCAGUGGCGAAGGCGGCCAUCUGGGACAACACUGACGCUGAGGCACGAAAGCGUGGGGAGCAAACAGGAUUAGAUACCCGCGUAGUCCCUGUCUCUUAUAC
rnacentral:rRNA from 1 species